rnacentral:rRNA from 1 species
AAUGAACGCUGGCGGCGCGCCUAAUACAUGCAAGUCGAGCGAGAAGACGUAGCAAUACGUUUGUAAAGCGGCGAACGGGUGAGGAAUACAUGGGUAACCUACCCUCGAGUGGGGAAUAACUAGCCGAAAGGUUAGCUAAUACCGCGUACGCUCCUUGGACUUCGGUUCAGGGAGGAAAGCGAUACCGUGAGUAUCGCGCUCUUGGUUGGGCUCAUGUCCUAUCAGCUUGUUGGNGAGGUAACGGCUCACCAAGGCUUCGACGGGUAGCUGGUCUGAGAGGACGAUCAGCCACACUGGCACUGCGACACGGGCCAGACUCCUACGGGAGGCAGCAGUAAGGAAUAUUGCGCAAUGGGCGAAAGCCUGACGCAGCGACGCCGCGUGGGGGA